AGGGAAUCUUCGGCAAUGGACGAAAGUCUGACCGAGCAACGCCGCGUGAGUGAAGAAGGUUUUCGGAUCGUAAAACUCUGUUGUUAGAGAAGAACAAGGAUGAGAAGGGAAUGUUCAUCCCUUGACGGUAUCUAACCAGGAAGCCACGGCUAACUACGUGCCAGCAGCCGCGGUAAUACGUAGGUGGCAAGCGUUGUCCGGAUUUAUUGGGCGUAAAGCGAGCGCAGGCGGUUCUUUAAGUCUGAUGUGAAAGCCCCCGGCUUAACCGGGGAGGGUCAUUGGAAACUGGGGAACUUGAGUGCAGAAGAGGAGAGUGGAAUUCCAUGUGUAGCGGUGAAAUGCGUAGAUAUAUGGAGGAACACCAGUGGCGAAGGCGGCUCUCUGGUCUGUAACUGACGCUGAGGCAUGAAAGCGUGGGGAGCGAAC
rnacentral:rRNA from 1 species